CCAGACUCCUACGGGAGGCAGCAGUGAGGAAUAUUGGUCAAUGGGCGCGAGCCUGAACCAGCCAAGUCGCGUGAGGGAGGACGGCCCUACGGGUUGUAAACCUCUUUUGCCGGGGAGCAACGGGCGUCACGUGUGGCGCCACUGAGAGUACCCGGAGAAAAAGCAUCGGCUAACUCCGUGCCAGCAGCCGCGGUAAUACGGAGGAUGCGAGCGUUAUCCGGAUUUAUUGGGUUUAAAGGGUGCGUAGGCGGGCUGUUAAGUCAGCGGUCAAAUGUCGGGGCUCAACCCCGGCCUGCCGUUGAAACUGGCGGCCUCGAGUGGGCGAGAAGUAUGCGGAAUGCGUGGUGUAGCGGUGAAAUGCAUAGAUAUCACGCAGAACUCCGAUUGCGAAGGCAGCUCACUGGAGCGCAACUGACGCUGAAGCUCGAAAGUGCGGGUAUCGAACAGGAUUAGAUACCCCCGUAAG
rnacentral:rRNA from 1 species